UACGGGGGGGGCUAGCGUUGUUCGGAAUUACUGGGCGUAAAGGGCGCGUAGGCGGUCUGCUAAGUUGGAUGUGAAAACUCUGGGCUUAACCCAGAGCCUGCAUUCAAUACUGACAGGCUAGAGUUCUGGAGGGGAUAGCGGAAUUCCUGGUGUAGCGGUGAAAUGCGUAGAUAUCAGGAGGAACAUCAGUGGCGAAGGCGACUUCCUGGACCAAUACUGACGCUCAGGUGCGAAAGCGUGGGGAGCAAACAGG
rnacentral:rRNA from 1 species